UACGGAGGGGCUAGCGUUGUUCGGAAUUACUGGGCGUAAAGCGCACGUAGGCGGCUUUGUAAGUUAGAGGUGAAAGCCCGGAGCUCAACUCCGGAAUUGCCUUUAAGACUGCAUCGCUUGAAUCAUGGAGAGGUGAGUGGAAUUCCGAGUGUAGAGGUGAAAUUCGUAGAUAUUCGGAAGAACACCAGUGGCGAAGGCGACUCACUGGACAUGUAUUGACGCUGAGGUGCGAAAGCGUGGGAGCAACAGG
rnacentral:rRNA from 1 species